rnacentral:snRNA from 2 species
UUGCUUUGGCAGCAAAUAUACUAAAAUUGGAAUGAUACAGAGAUUAAUGUGGCCCCUAAACAAGAGUGACACACACAUUCAGGAAGCAUUCCAUAUUAAA